AUGGGGGCCGUUGAGGUGGCCGGGGGCUCGCAGAAGGGUUUCAACGGACCAAAAGGGGCCUCACGAAUCACCGGUACAGACAGGCCGGGGAGGUGGACGAAACGGUGGCGUCUCACUCGUUGGUUCCAUCGCACGACCAGCCGUACGGCGCCGCUCGAUUGGGCGGUGCCGCCUGCGGCCAGUCGAAAGGACGUGUUGCAUUCCCUUAGCCGCACGGAGUGCGCCUGCAGGUGUGCCAGUACGUCUUCGCCGAGCAACGAUGCGCUCGCCCCCGAGUCGAGGAGAGCUGCAAACGUCCGGCCGGCGAUGGUGAGGGCCAAGAACGGGGCAGGCGCAUCGGGCGAAGAGUCCACCCGAUACGCAGACGGAGCGAGGGCGAUCAAGGGGGCCUCGUCAGCGGCGGCCGGCUCCGUUUCCCGAAGCUUGUUGAGGAGCAGGCCGCUGGUCGGUACAGUCUCGGACAAAAUGGUCGGGCCGACCGCAGCGGAUACACUGGACGUCCGAACCGCGGGACGGGUUCCGUCGCAAGUUCCUUGGCGGGUUGGGGCGCUCAUUCUGGGCAUCAAGGUGCCCGGUCUGCGCCCAUCUGCGAGGCCUCGGGUUCGCGGGGCGGUCCCGAUAACGCUGGUUCGCCUGCGCCUCUGUGGAGCCUCUUCGCAAACCAAAGGUGUAGGGGUCGAGAGCACGGUUAG